UGAGCAAUCCAAGACCGGCUACACCCACCUCAACCACCACCAUCAAUCCGUCCUCAUCGAAUCAAGCCAAAUCGACCUAGGGUUUAUUUCCACCCUUCACCCCCGUUCCUCCAUUCAUCUUAUUCUUGGGGACGGGGUUGCCAUUGAUAUUGCAGAGUAAGCAGAGGAGCUUCGGGAACUAGAAAUAGAGUUGGCAUCCUCUUCCAGGAGGAUGAUAGACCCUAGGGGGUGAGGUCGCAUCUAUUUCCCCCGGUGGUCCAUCACCGCGCCUCCCAUCGCAUUUACCUCGACCUACGCUUACACAUGGAACACCAGCGGCCAGAUGAGGCCACUCCGCCAUCUCUCUCUCCAAACCAAAUCAAUCGGUGGAGGAAAGUUUUAGAGCGGUCGGCGGCCGUGAGGCGAGAUUAAUGUCAACGAUGGUUGCCGUAGCUGGUGGGCAGCGACAGCCGGUACCAGGCCUAGAAAGAUGCCCAAAUACCCUAGCCAGAGGAGUUUGAAGUGGAGGUUCGUUCUUGGGAAGUCAAUGGCUUCCAGAGGUGCAAGAGUUUGGAGCACGUCUGUGUUUCAUCACUUUCAGAGUCAGUAUGAUUCGUCGAUGGCAUGGCAGGCCGCACUUCCGGCCGACCUAGAAUAGGCGGAGGGGACGGACGGCUGGCUGUUACCAGGAGCUCUACAGGUCUGGCAUGGCGUGUACUCUGACCUUUGGGGAUCGUGAGCAUGGUUGUGAGCAUGUGCAGUUUGUGUUACUCAUCCAACCAUUGCACGACCUGGUGCCUCACUGAUUAGGUCUUCUUAUCCUUGCGCAACACAAAUUAGAUGUGGUAGGUUAAUGCAAGUAAUUCCAAAACCAAUUAAUGGAAUCUGCAAUCCAAUAAAAAUCAUGUUGUAGGAAGUACUCUUCCUUGUAUGAUUGUUUUUCCUGGAAUUUGCGCCUACAUAGCAUACCAAAGAAAGAAACGAGAUUGUUGAUAUUAUUUUUUCCUCUUUGUAACUCCAAUAAUUUUCUUAUUUUUAUUUAAUCUAUAUGCACAAGUGCUUGAUGAAUUUUACAGGAGGUGUAUAAGAUUUAUAUACAGUUGGCAGGAUGCAUCUACAGAUUUUUUUUAUCAUGGUGAGUGUUCGCUUCAAUCAACCAAGAGUACUUACAACAAUGUUAGUUGUACUUAUUGGUUUGAACGAUCUGAAUCUCAAUAAACUUUGGAGAAAGUAGUGCUCAGAUCUGUAGUCCUAUAUGUCAUAGUUUUGUAUGUCCUUUAUGUGAGAAGCAGUUAAGAUAGGUUAACAUGCCUCAAAUCAGUUUUCUCAUGAUUUCUCUGUACCAAAAGCAUGAUUUUGAUGAAUCUUAUGUACUUCAGUUUGGUGCUCCGGCUGAUUCAGCGCUUCUCAGGCCUCUUGUUGCUAAUUACAUGGGUGCAUGGAAAGAAGUGGUAAAACAAGGACAGACUAAAGUCAGCGUAUUCCACGAGCAACCUUUGGUAUCUUAUAGUGAUUUCACGUAGGCCUAAUUAUAUGUAUUUGUAUCUGUUUCAGCAUUUUUAUUUCAAGACAUCUCUACAGGGAGAUUAUCCUUA